rnacentral:rRNA from 1 species
GUCUACGGCCACGCCACCCCGGACAAGCCCGAUCCCGUCUGAUCUCGGAAGCUAAGGUGCCACCCCGGACAAGCCCGAUCCCGUCUGAUCGCGGAAGCCGAGCAGGGUCGGGCCUGGUUAGUACUUGGAUGGGAGACCACCGAUGAAGACGAGGUGCUGUAGAUG